rnacentral:rRNA from 1 species
AACGAACGCUGGCGGCAUGCCUAACACAUGCAAGUCGAACGAGACCUUCGGGUCUAGUGGCGCACGGGUGCGUAACGCGUGGGAACCUGCCCUUAGGUUCGGAAUAACUCCCCGAAAGGGGUGCUAAUACCGGAUAAUGUCUUCGGACCAAAGAUUUAUCGCCUUUGGAUGGGCCCGCGUUGGAUUAGCUAGUUGGUAGGGUAAAAGCCGACCAAGGCGACGAUCCAUAGCUGGUCUGAGAGGAUGCUCAGCCACACUGGGACUGAGACACGGCCCAGACUCCUACGGGAGGCAGCAGUGGGGAAUAUUGGACAAUGGGCGAAAGCCUGAUCCAGCAAUGCCGCGUGAGUGAUGAAGGCCUUAGGGUUGUAAAGCUCUUUUACCCGGGAUGAUAAUGACAGUACCGGGAGAAUAAGCUCCGGCUAACUCCGUG